UGCUUGCGCUUGAUGAGGUAAGCAGGCGAGGAAGACCCUUAAAGAACAACAUGGACCUUGAUGUGUUAAAUAUGUUUGUAAUCGCAGGAGGCACUCUGGCUAUCCCCAUUCUGGCAUUUGUAGCAUCCUUUCUCCUGUGGCCUUCUGCGUUGAUCAAAAUCUAUUAUUGGUACUGGCGUCGAGCACUGGGCAUGCAGAUUCGGUAUGCUAACUAUGACGAUUACCGGUUCUGUUUUUCCUAUCGAGGAAGACCUGGAUUCAGACCAUCCAUACUGAUGUUGCAUGGAUUUUCAGCCCACAAAGAUAUGUGGUUGUCUGUGGUCAAGUUCCUCCCGAAGAACCUGCACUUGGUUUGUGUUGACAUGCCUGGUCACGAGGGCACUACCCGAUCAUCAUUAGAUGACUACUCCAUCAAUGGGCAAGUUAAAAGAAUACAUCAGUUUGUUGAAUGUAUCAAGCUGAACAGAAAACCCUUUCACCUGAUCGGCACCUCAAUGGGUGGAAAUGUUGCAGGAGUUUAUGCUGCUCGGUAUCCAGCAGAGAUUUGCAGCCUGUCUCUUGUAUGCCCUGCAGGCCUGCCAUAUCCAACUGAUAACAAAUUUCUUAAGCAACUGCGGGAGCUGAAAGAGUCUGAACGUAUGGACAGGGUUCCUUUAAUUCCAUCAACACCUGAGGAAAUGGCAGACAUGCUGAAGCUUUGUUCUUAUGUGCGUUUUAAAGUACCUCAGCAGAUCCUGCAGGGUCUCGUUGAUGUUCGCAUCCCACAUAAUGAAUUUUACCGAAAAUGUUUUCCUUAUUCAGGCAGACCUGCAUUGGCUGCGACAGAGCCUGCUGAAAGAAUAAAGGAAAUCAUUCCCUCAGGGUUCAGCCUGUGCUGAUUAGCAGUAAAUGGAACAAAUCCUACUGGUGUUUGACUAAUUCUUCUCUGGUGAAAAGUAUUUUUAGAAAUUGCAGAUGAAAAGUCCAGACAUGCUCUCCAUGAAAACAUGAGCAAGAUCAAAGCCCCAACACAGAUCAUCUGGGGAAAACAAGAUCAGGUUCUGGAUGUUUCUGGAGCAGAUGUUCUAGCAAAAUCCAUUUCUGACUGUCAGGUACAUAUUUUGGAAAACUGUGGACACUCUGUGGUAGUAGAGCGGCCCAGGAAAACAGCGAAGCUCAUAUUGGAAUUUUUAGCCUUGGUGCAUAACACAGAGAACAAUAAGAAACUAGCUUGAACUUCAUGUGAUGUCAAGCACUUGAACAUGUUUUGAGUUGUGAAAUACUGAUGUUUUGAUCAAUUCUCAGGGAUCUUGUACAAAGUAUGGCAAAUGUGCCAGAGUCCCUGAGGAAACCUGAAUGAUUGGUAUGUAAAGCUGUAGUGUUAACAACACUCAAUGACCUGCGGGAUCCAUUGAGCAAUCUCCAUUUUUUAAAAUAUGAAACUAGAAAAUAAUCUGAAAUCAGAAAAUUCUAGCUAUGGAAUGUACUGACAACUCUGAGUUUAUGCAGCUCAGGAUACAUGAGCUCAUUUAUUGUAAAACUUAUUGGAACGUAGAUGUUAGACAUUGUUAGAAAAUGGAAGGAAUAUGGGAAGUAGGAAAACUUCAUAGACUGAAGGUAUUACUGCUACUUAGAAUCUAUUGCACUGCAUGAUAAAUUGUUAUAAAAGAAUUCUGAUGUUCCAGGCAUCUAUUGAAGUAUUGCUGAUAUAACUCAUUAACUUAUGAUUUAUGCAGAAAAUGCAGGCAACACAUAAAAUGUAGUUCGCAAAAGGAAAAUGACUGUCUGUCCAGAAUGUUUACACUUAUUGUGGAUGUAUUUUUACUCCCUGAAUAGCUCCUGUGUAUAUAUACUGCCUUAACAUCUAGAAUAUUGAGGUGUUCGUACAAUCCGGCUUUGCUUAAAGGAGGAUGCUUUCUUUUGAUGUUAAGCCUAUGUAUAUAACAGUUCAAAUAUGGAGAGCAAUUUCAAGAUGUUUAUUAAAACAAGUGAAGAAAAACUCUUGAGGGCGUUUAUUCUAUUAGGUUUGGGGCCUGAUUAAGCAAUAAUACCGUAGCUAGAUGAGUAGGCAGACAAAUUCAGGUUAACACAAGAGCGUGAGCUCUUGGCUCUUUUCUAUUAUAUUGUGUUACUGAAUAUUUUGAUGUAAAUAAUGAGUGUCUUAAUGAAUUCUGUGAAUUCUGUGGUUGGUAACGUAAUUCAAAACAAGUGUAAGCUUAAUGAGAUAAGUGUAAUAAUAUUGGUUAGAUGCUAUACAAGGCUUGUGUGUUUCUACAUCUUUUACACUAUGAAUUGCUAGCAGAUGUAUUAUAUGCUCCAAUUGAAUGCAUUUUAAAAUGUAGAGGUACAAAAAAGUACAAAAUACAGUAAUGUUUCCCUUUGAAUUAUAUGUAUAAUUAAAUUUAUAGUCAUAACUUGUAUCUAAAUGAAAUUAUCUCAAAACAGAAGAGCCAGAUGAGUUAAUUUUUGUUAUCUGUAAUGCACCUUUUAUGGUAUGUAGAGACUGAUUCUAGACUGCCUCGCCCCCAGAACUCUGCAGCUCAAAUCCCUACUGUGUAUCUACAAAAUCAGGCUGCAGCAUCCAUGAGAGUCUUCUCCUUGGUCUCAGGCAUUGCUAGUAUUUAAUAGAAAGCUGAAGAGUGCAUUGUCUCCUUGAAAGAGUGCGGGAUGAAACCAUCACUUAGUCCCUUUGGACUACUUACUUGGACAUCGUUGUUACACUUUGGAAAAAUGUCAAACUGUAAAGUCUCUUGUAGACUGCACAAUUAAGCCUGCAUUUCUAAGAGCCAUAUUUGCGCUCCAUUUCCAAUCUACCUAUGAUCUGUAUAUGCAUUUGAAACCCAUUGCUAGGCUGUCUUUUGUUUCAAAAAGAAAAAUCCUCGUUCCUAUUUUAGAAAGUUAGAAAUAUGUUGUUAGAUUAAUUGCUUGGUCAUUGUUUCUACACCAGGAAUAAAUACAAAGUAGCUGACAAUUUUAUUUGUGGAAAUCUGGAAAAAAGUUGUUAGAUGUUUACACAUGGUUCCCGGAAUAUGCAAAGGAUUAAAAUCUAGUAAUUUACAGAGUU